UAUUAUUUUUGAUGUUAAUUAUUUAACCUGAGUAGUAAUAGAUAUGGUCUUGAAACUUAAAGAAUUUGGCAGUAUUUUAUUCUGUUCAGAGGAACCUGUUCUUUUAUCGAUAAUCCUCGUUGGACCUUACUUAAUUUAUUGAUUUGUAUACCGCCGUUGUAUUGAGAAUCAUUAUAGUGUUUAUAAUUUUCUAGUUUUUAUUUUAGGUUAUUUCAGGUCAAGGUGCAAUUUAUGAUUAAGUAGUAAUGGGUUACUUUUUUAUUUAUUUUGGAUUAUUGAGUGAAAUUUUGAUAUGAAAUUGGAUUUGAAUGUAAUUUUUAUUUUAGAUUGUGUAGAUGAAUUAGUUUCUGGAAUGUGUACACAUCGCCCGUCGCUCUCGUUAUUUAUUCGAG
rnacentral:rRNA from 1 species